UACUUUUUAUUUUUGUGUUGUGUUUGUCACUUCAAAUUUGGAAAUGUGCCAAAAAAUUGCAGUUGCGGGUCUCAAAUUUGCUGCUGUGGCUGUAGGCGACGUCCUGAUGUAGACAUUAAUGACAUUAGUGACAUUAAUGACAUUAGUCAUUAAUGACAUUAAUGACACAAGAUGGCGUAGUGGCGGCACGGCGGUCUAGUGGUUAGCGCGCAGACCUCACAGCUAGGAGACCAGGGUUCAAUUCCACUCUCGGGCAUCUCUGUGUGGAGUUUGCAUGUUCUCCCCGUGGGUUUUCUCCGGGUACUCCGGUUUCCUCCCACAUUCCAAAAACAUGCUAGGUUAAUUAGCGACUCCAAAUUGUCCAUAGGUAUGAAUGUGAGUGUGAAUGGUUGUUUGUCUAUAUGUGCCCUGUGAUUGGCUAGCGACCAGUCCAGGGUGUACCCCACCUCUCGCCCAAAGACAGCUGGGAUAGGCUCCAGCACCCCCCGGUAGAAAACGUAGUGGGUGGGUGGUCAGGAUCCUGUAGUAUCGACCUCGGUAUCUACCUUCGUAUAUUUAGGGAUUGUGUUUUGAGUGAACAAUGGCAAUCGAAGAGAGAAGAGGGAUUUGGGUAAUGAUCCAGGGCCCGGUGCUAGGUGGGUUCGCUGAGAGUAGAUAUAGCAAACUUUCUACCAGCAGAUUGGAGAAGUUGAGGCUCUAAAACAAAUCUUUGUUUCUCUUUUCCUUUUUUUUCCCUGCUGUAGAAAAAAAAAAAAAAAGUAUUCCGUCUCGUCUCCCACACACUGUGUCCCCGUUUGGUUCUUGCCGCUAUGUCUGUCUCUGCCGCGCUUUGCUGUCUCGUCAUCUUCUCGCAUUUGGUUUGCCCUCGCUGCCGUCUUCCUCUCUCCCACUCGUAGUGCACACAAACACACACACACACACACACACAUAAACGCAAAUACACAACUACACAACAGGGCGUGCAAUUGUUUUCUCCGGAGCAGACAGUUUGGAUUUGUGCCAGCUCUCAUUAUCGCCUAUAUCUGUGUACUCACAUCGACACCCCUCCCCCAGCACCCCUCGCUUUUUACUCCUUCACAUGGCACACACUGUACCGCACACACACACACACACACAGGCCUCUUAACACUGGCAGCGUGGAUGCUAACACGCCGGAUACAUAUGUUGCACGCCUGCUGUCUUUGUCUGAGAAGUUGUUUGGGUUUUUAUAUAUAUAUAUAUAUAUUUUUUUUUUUUUUUUGUGGAGCUGAGCACGAGUCUACGUGAGCCCAAUGACAAUGAGGAGUGGACCCUCGCCAGGGGAGGGGGGGCUAGAGAGAGAAAGUGUGUGUGUGUGUGUGUCCAUAGGGAUGGGACAUUGAAUGUGCAACACUGACCUCUAGUGGUCACGUGCUGUUUUAAUCAUAAUGAGGGCCCUUGUUAGCAGGAUGUUUUUUUGUUGUUGUUUUUCCUUCUUUCAAGCCGAAGUCAGUUAUUCUAUCAAAAGCAAGGACUCGGAGAAGUAAUAGAUUACUUUUGAACUAACCAUCCAUCUUUACAAGUGUAAUAUUCUCCCUUUAAUUGGCCAAGGAGGAACAAUAUUUGCUAGCUGAAUUGGGUUAAUGGAACCCGUAUGCCUCACUUAAAGGGAAACUGCAUGAUUUUCUUCUCACUGUGUUGAAAUGUUCAUUUUUGAUUAAAUGUAAGGAUUGUACAGGAAAGGUUCUUAGAAAAGCCUAUACAGUACACGCAGUACUAAUGGAAUUUUUUGUAUUUUUUUUACACACCUUUCACUCCUCCCUUCUAGACCUUUCUGCUAGCUUGAUGAAUGAUAGCAUAAGAUGGAGGCACAAAUAUAUACAUAUUUCUGUGGCUGACAGCAGCUAUGAGUGAAACAGGAAGUACAUUUCUUUUGGCUUUUUUUCCUGGCUUUUAUUUAUAUAUUUAUUUAAAUACGCAUAGUGAUUUAUUUUUUUUGGGCUUGAUCCCUUUAUAUUCCGGAUGCUUCCUGAUGAAUACCGAUGGUGCUUACUAGUGGAGAUUCGAACCCAGGGCAAAUAAAAGAUGUGGACUUUAUUUUUGUACAUUUUACUCAACAGUAAUCCCUCGUUUAUCGCAGACUUGACCGUGACAAGUGAAUUUGUCGCAUUUAUAAGCCAUAUUUUUGUACAGUUUAAGCAUAGCAAACAUGAUUAUGACCUACUAAGGUCAGGUUUCUAACAUCUGUCGAGCCCUCUAGUGGUGAAAUACUGUAUAGGGCAGAAGUAGCAUUGUAAUUGUGAAUGUAGUACUGUAGUCCACAUUAGUGAGACUCCUCAUUACGGUUCCCGAGGGAACACAUUUACUCCGAACUGCCCGAGCAAGAACAACAAUUUAUUUCCCUUUUACAUGGCUUAUUUACUCAUAUUCUGUCUGCUGUAUUAAGUAAGACGAGUGUAAAGCCAUUUAAAACCUCAAGGAAGUACGCUAGAAGUACACUGUCCAGAAAAAUACAAGGAACUCCUAACAUGCGAGUCUGUGUUAUCUUAUUUAUGUCUAAUAUGUAUUAUUUUCUAGGAUUUGAUCUACUAUUUUGGUUAAUACAAAUGUAAAUGUGACUAUAGGGGUGUUAUAUCAUGUCUUGAGGGCUCUAAUAAUGUAUAUACAGGUUUUCAAACAAAAAUGUUCAGUUUAUUCAUAUUGAAUCCUACUUUGCGGAAAUUCACUUAUCUAUUAUUUUGGUUAAUACAAAUGUAAAUGUGACUAUAGGGGUGUUAUAUCAUGUCUUGAGGGCUCUAAUAAUGUUAAUACAGGUUUUCAAACAAAAAUGUUCCGUUUAUUCAUAUUGAAUCCUACUUUGCGGAAAUUCACUUAUCUACUAUUUUGGUUAAUACAAAUGUAAACGUGACUAUAGGGGUGUUAUAUCAUGUCUUGAGGGCUCUAAUAAUGUUAAUACAGGUUUUCAAACAAAAAUGUUCUGUUUAUUCAUAUUGAAUCCUACUUUGCGGAAAUUCACUUAUCUACUAUUUUGGUUAAUACAAAUGUAAACGUGACUAUAGGGGUGUUAUAUCAUGUCUUGAGGGCUCUAAUAAUGUUAAUACAGGUUUUCAAACAAAAAUGUUCCGUUUAUUCAUAUUGAAUCCUACUUUGCGGAAAUUCACUUAUCGUGGUCGGGUCUGGAAACACAAGGAAUGACUGAACGCCGUUCGAUUCCCUGCUUAUUGCCAUGAAAACGAGUGUUUUGUUCAGUUCCAUUGCAAACAUACAUUAAAAACGCCGCUGUGUGUUUCCAAGGAGGAAAAACGUCCCUCAAGAUCCUUUCUGCUAAUCUCUGGCUUUAAAAAUGCUAAUCAGCCUGUGCAACGAGAGCAACAGGGAACGACUGCCGGACCGCCCCCGUUCAAAGCGCCGGCGUUGUUGCUAGCAUGAAGGCUAGCUCUUAACGAGAUGAGUAGUCAAGGAGGCCGUGAUAAUUACCUGACAAUUAACACUCCCAAGUCUCACACUCGCCACCAGCUGUUCCCCUCAGAGGAGGUGGAGGAGGAGGAGGAGGAGGUGCAGAGAGUGGUCCAGAGGAAGGUUGACGUUGGGCCUCCUCGCGAGAACAGAUGGUGACUGCAAGGCUUGUUGGCAAUCAGCACGUUUUCAAGCUAAUGACUUAAUUAGCUAUGCAAAUGGACAAAUCAGUGUGGAUAUUGUCGUUUAGUUGAAAAGCUCACCUCAAUGAAUUAGCAGCAUUAAGACAUCGUCGGGCGGAAAAACGCUCGCCAUGGGGGGACUUUACUCGGUCCCGACUUUGAUCAAUACACUGCUGGCUGGCACUCGGCACCAAACACCAUGUUUGUUUGGAUUAACGCUUGUUGGAUUGUUGGCUUUACGUGUGUGAGAUGUAUGGAGUAGAUGUAUGGAAUAUACCAGGAUGCUUUCAGGGUCUUUUUGCCUGUCUGUGCUUUUCAGGUGUGCAAUUAGGAUGUGAUUGCACUGUGUGUGUGAGUGUGUAGUGGGGUAGCAGUGACACACAUGACCAAUGAAGCGUGCACUCCAUUUAGCUGUGCAGCUUCCAGCAGGUUACAGAAGGGGGUGCUGUUUUCCCCCUUUAAUAGUACAUUUAAAAACUGCAUUGUGUUAUUUAAAUUAAAUGACGUUUUUGUUUGAUGAUUUAAGUGUGACAAACGUGCAAAAAAUGCCACAUAUGUAGUUUUUAUUUCCCAAAAUGUAUGUAUACAAACACACAUAUACAUACAAGAUACGCUGUUAGCCUGAUACCAGUCUCUUUCAUCAUACUUUCAACCGCGUUAUUAUGUGGAGUGAAAUGUAGCGUUCAAAGACACCACGUAAUUAAAGCAACAAGUGAAUCUUUUUUGGCUCCAUCUUAAAUAAUAAUAAUAAUAAAUUUUAUUUGUAUAGCGCUUUUCAGAGUACUCAAAGACGCUUUACAGUAGAGAAAAAAUAAAUACAAAUAGAGUUGAGUAAAAACAGAGUAAACGAUGCAUUAAAAUACAAUAUCCAAACAUUCAUUCAGAGCUAAAACAAGGCUAAAAGCGGGGUCAGGUAUAAAACGUUAAACGGAUUAAAAACGGAUUUAAACAGGUGGGUUUUGAGUUGUUUUUUUAACAACGUUCGUUCGUUAAUACUGUAAUGACCCUUAGGGGUAUUAUGUGUUACGUGUUAUGUUGUAUUUGCACUCGUGUUGCCAUUGAGAGAUAUGUUCCGGGUUGGGAAGGAAUAGGGGUGGCGGACAGGAAGUGGGGGAGAGAGACCGCAUGUGAGGGAGUUGGAGGCGUGGGUUAUGGCCGCAACAGUAGCCCUUGUUAAGAAUUAUCUCCUGUGAGCCUUAAAUAAAAACCGGCUGUUGUUCCGCCUGUCUGGUCUGGUGUUUGGCCGAUCGAAGAGUGUUACACUGGUGUCAGAAGGGUUUUUACGGACCUGCGCCGAGAACUAGUGUUGCUGAGUGAGGACUCGUCGCGCACGCUAUGUCGACGGCCAAGGUGAAGGAGGAGGAAGGGGAAGAAAUGGAUCUUCGUUCGUCCAGACGCCGGGUCAGGGAGGAGGCAAGACAGCUGGCCGCUGAGGCAGGAUUCGCGCCAUCUUUCGCGCGGCGGGCGAACUUUGGACACCAUGACGGCAGCAUGGACGAAGUUGGAGCGGCACGUGACGUAGACAAAGAUGGCGGCGCCCAUGUCUGCGGCGUGCCGGCGAAUAUAAAGACGCCGAAAUUUAAUGGCAAAUCGACAUGGGAGGUAUUCCAAGCCCAGUUUGAACUUGUGGCUGAAGCAGCCGGGUGGUCCUAUAGACAGAGAGCCCUGCAGUUAGCUCUUUGCCUGUCGGAUGAGGCUGCUGAAUGCCUGCUCCUGUUAAGUCACGAGGAGAGGGGGGACUACACGUCACUGCUGGGGGCGCUACAGAGGCGGUACGGACGGUACAACCAGCCUGUGUUGCUGCGCUCAGAGUUCCACAAUAGACACAGACGGCCUGGAGAGUCCUUGCGUGUCCUGGCACACGAUAUAGAGUGUCUUUGCAAGCGAGCGUACGAGAAUAUGCCGCCGUUCGUGCGCGCAGAGCUUGCUAGGGACCAGUUUCUGCAAGCUCUCAGCCCCAAAGAGCUGCGUAUCCAGACCCAGCUGGAGCAACCCGGCACACUGAGUGAGGCUCUGGAGCUGGCAUCAAAAAGAGAGAUGCUAAGUGUGGACGGGGGGAGGAGCAAGGAGUUGUCCGUAGCUCGAGUCACAGCGACCAGCGAGUGGCUGGAGCAGCCGGAAGGACCGCAAGCUGUGGUGCAAGCAGCUGUCCUGCAGCCGGCUGCCCCAGUUGGCCACAGACGUCGUCGACCACAGACAUGUUGGGGCUGUGGAGUGGAAGGACACCUCCUGAGAGAAUGCCCCAAGCUGGCAGCGCUGCAGGGAAACCGGCGGGGGCCCUUGUAAAGGGGGAUACACUGGCCCGAGGGAUAAACAACCCCACCCCAUUGCUGCCUACACCGAGCCAAGUGGUAACGGUGGGCUGGACCCAUGUUGGGGACUUUUGCCACAUCCCAGUGACAAUAGCAGGCAAGAGGUGCACAGCUCUCCUGGACACGGGGUCCAACGCAACACUGGUACGGCCUGACACUGUCCCGACAGGGGCUACCCUGGAACCUACUGUGGUCCAGCUGAGGACGGUGACGGGGGCGCUGGCUCCGAUGAGAGGACGCGGAGUAUUCCAGUUCGAAGUGGGCGACCGCUCAGUGCCUUUUACUGCAUGGGUGGCGGAGGUGCAGGAGGCUUGCAUCCUGGGGCUGGACUUCCUGAGAGCCAUUGGCGCAGUGCUGGACUUGGGCACCAGCGCCCUGUUGCUUCCUGGGGGAGGUGUGGUAAAGCUGACAUCAUCAACAGCACGCUCGACCACCCCCGCUGUGACGGCCAGCACCAUAAAGACAGCAGUAGCACCACCACAGGAACUGCAGCAAGGGGGGGACAAGCAGACCACUGCAGUCAAGGACAUCUGGGCCAAGAAUUGCGAGGGCCUAAACCACCAGCAACAACAGAGGCUAUGGCAGUUGCUGCUGGACUAUAAGGACAUUUUCGCACUGGAGGAGAACGACGUGGGCAUAACUCACCUGGUGGAGCACACCAUUGACACCGGUGAUGCUCAGCCCGUCAAAGUGCGCCCUCGCCGCAUGCCAUUAGCCCGUCAGGAGGCGGCAGACAGAGAGCUGGCCGAAAUGCUUAAAGCCGGCAUAAUAGAGCCCUCUGACAGUCCGUGGGCCUCCGCUGUUGUGAUGGUGCCCAAAAAGAACAGCUCAAGGAUGCGCUUUUGCGUUGAUUACAGGCCCCUGAACAAGGUCACCAGAAAAGACUCCUACCCCCUCCCCAGAAUUGAUGAGUCCCUGGACUUGGUGGCUGGGUCCUCGUGGUUCUCCACCCUGGACCUGCGAAGUGGGUACUGGCAGGUUCCGCUGGCCCAGGAGUCCAAAGCAAAGACUGCUUUUUGCACAUCUGGAGGUCUGUGGCAGUUCAAAGUUAUGAGCUUCGGCCUGUGUAAUGCCCCUGCAACCUUCGAGAGGUUAAUGGACAGAGUGCUGGCAGGCGUCCCACGUCGGAGGUGCUUGGUGUACCUUGAUGACCUGUUGGUGCAUGGGAGCUCAUUUGAGGCAAGCUUGGACUCUCUGCGGAAGGUGUUGGAGAGGAUAGCAGCUGCAGGUUUGAAAUUGCAUCCGAACAAGUGCCACUUCAUGAGGAGGGAGGUGGAGUUUCUAGGCCACAAAUUGGGACGGGAAGGCAUCUGCACACUGGACGAAAAGAUCAAUUCCAUCAAAAACUGGCCCACCCCCACAGACCAGACUCAGCUCAAAAGUUUCCUGGGCCUGGCUUCCUAUUACAGGAGGUUUGUGAGGGGAUUUUCGUCCAUCGCCGCACCCCUCUUCCACCUGUUGCGGAAAAACUGUGACUUCAGCUGGUCUGCGGAAUGCCAACAGGCAUUUGACACCCUCAGGAGAACUCUGACUGAGUCCCCAGUUCUCGCCCCACCCGACCCUUCCCUCCCUUUUAUACUGGACACAGAUGCCAGCAACGUCGGGCUGGGAGCUGUGCUGUCGCAGAGAGGGCCAGUGGGAGAGAGAGUGGUUGCGUACUUCAGCCGCGUCCUGAGUAGGAGUGAACGGCGCUAUUGUGUCACGAGGCGAGAACUCCUGGCAGUGGUCGUGGCAAUAAGGCACUUCAGGUACUACCUGUGUGGUACACCCUUCAUCAUCCGGACAGACCACGCGGCACUGCAGUGGCUGAUGUCGUUCAAGGAGCCAGAGGGCCAAGUGGCACGUUGGCUGGAGGAGCUCCAGUCUUUCAAUUUCACUGUGGAGCACAGAGCUGGUGCACACCACAGCAAUGCGGAUGCGCUCUCCCGCCGUCCAUGUGCUGCAGUUGGCUGCCGCUUUUGCGAGAAGAGAGAGGAGCGAGAGAAAGAGCUCACGCAGAUGGACGAAGGAACGCAACUCCCCUGCAGAACACUCCAGGCUGUGGACACGGUGGACUGGAGAGCAGGACAAGAGCAAGACCUGGAGCUAACACCGGUGUUACAUUGGCUGCAGCAGGAGCAGAGACCACCCUGGGACCAGGUCACCGGGCUCUCCAUCUUCACGAAAGGACUGUGGGCCAAGUUUCAGACUCUUCGGCUGAAAGACAACGUGUUGCAGCGAGCAUGGCGAGAUCCGGCUACGGGAGAGGACAGGUGGCAGAUUGUGGUGCCCAAGCCCUUGAGGACAGCUGUGAUGGAAGCCUGCCAUGGGGGCACUGGCUCGGGCCACUUCGGCGUUGCCAAGUCCCUCCGGCGCCUGAGGCAGAGCUACUACUGGGGACAGCAGCGCAGAGAUAUAGAGGACUUCUGCCGCAGCUGUGACGCUUGCUCCGCUCACAAGGGGCCGCUGGACCAAUCUCACGCACCACUUCAGCAGCAGCUGGCGGGGGCACCGAUGGAGAGGGUGGCCAUAGACGUCAUGGGGCCCUUCCCCCGCACAGAGAGGGGUAACAGGUAUGUCUUAGUGGCCAUGGACUAUUUCACAAAAUGGCCAGAGGCAUAUGCUGUUCCUGACCAAGAGGCUGAAACUGUAGCAGACGCCUUAGUGGAGGGGAUGUUUAGCAGGUUUGGAACGGCCACCACUCUGCACAGUGACCAGGGCCGUAAUUUUGAAUCAAGGGUGUUUGCGGCCCUGUGCGACCGACUAAACAUGCAGAAGACCCGCACAACCCCCCUCCACCCACAGAGUGACGGCCUGGUAGAAAGGUUCAACCGGACGCUGGCCCAACAACUAGCCAUCUUGACCGCUGAGCACCAGAAGGAUUGGGACGCCCACCUUCCGCUUGUCCUCAUGGCCUACAGGUCGGCUGUGCAGGACUCCACCCGGUGUACACCUGCGCUGCUAAUGCUAGGACGGGAGCUGCGGACACCUGCAGAGAUGGCCUUUGGCAGACCACCAGAUGUUCCAGCUGCUCCGCCGGGUCUGGAGUAUGCCAAGAAACUGCAGGACCGGAUGGAGUCCGCACACACCUUCGCCCGAGACCAGCUGGCAAAGGCCGGGUUGCGUCAGAAGCGUAACUAUGACGCCACCACAAGAGGAAGACAUUUCCAUGCUGGGGAGAUGGUGUGGGUCUAUAGCCCGAAGAGAAAAAAAGGACGGUGUCCCAAGCUGGACAGUAGCUGGGUGGGGCCCUGCAGGGUGCUCGAGAGGGUGGGUGAGGUGGUCUACCGGGUCCAGCUGCCACCUAGGGGGCGGAGGGUGGUACUUCACAGAGAUAGGUUGGCUCCAUAUAGGGGGAACAACCUUCCGCCCUUCCCAGAGGAGCGGGUCACUACCCCGCCCUGCCCCUCCCCUGCAUCUGUGCCUCCACCAACAGACUAUGGUUCACAACAGGGGCAGUUGCCCUAUGCCCGCAUCCCUGAUUCGCAAUCCCAAGAAGCUCGGGCGUCACCGGGGAGCCCUACUCGGCCACGGCGGCGCCGUAGAUUGCCUCCCCGCCUCAGAGACUGUGUUGUUCCAUCGAGGACGAGGAACUUACUGUUGGGGGGGCAGUGUAAUGACCCUUAGGGGUAUUAUGUGUUACGUGUUAUGUUGUAUUUGCACUCGUGUUGCCAUUGAGAGAUAUGUUCCGGGUUGGGAAGGAAUAGGGGUGGCGGACAGGAAGUGGGGGAGAGAGACCGCAUGUGAGGGAGUUGGAGGCGUGGGUUAUGGCCGCAACAGUAGCCCUUGUUAAGAAUUAUCUCCUGUGAGCCUUAAAUAAAAACCGGCUGUUGUUCCGCCUGUCUGGUCUGGUGUUUGGCCGAUCGAAGAGUGUUACAAUACUCCCGCAGUGAGAUGAUGUGAUGGUGGUGGGCGAGCCGACCCUGAUGGGCGGCGAGUUCGGGGACGAGGACGAGCGUCUGAUCACCCGCCUGGAGAACACGCAGUACGACGCCACCAACGGUCUGGAUGACGAGGACGACUUCAC